CAGUAGCCGCGGGAAUACGAAGGGGGCUAGCGUUGCUCGGAAUCACUGGGCGUAAAGGGUGCGUAGGCGGGUCUUUAAGUCAGGGGUGAAAUCCUGGAGCUCAACUCCAGAACUGCCUUUGAUACUGAAGAUCUUGAGUUCGGGAGAGGUGAGUGAAACUGCGAGUGUAGAGGUGAAAUUCGUAGAUAUUCGCAAGAACACCAGUGGCGAAGGCGGCUCACUGGCCCGAUACUGACGCUGAGGCACGAAAGCGUGGGGAGCAAACAGGAUUAGAUACCCCCGUAGUCCCUGUCUCUUAUAC
rnacentral:rRNA from 1 species